GCCUCUGUAGCUCAGUGGUAGAGCAACUGCCUUGUAAGCAGUAGGCCGGGGGUUCAAAUCCCCUCGGAGGCU
rnacentral:tRNA from 1 species